GUGCUGUGAGCUCGAUGAGUAGGGCGGGACACGUGGUAUCCUGUCUGAAUAUGGGGGGACCAUCCUCCAAGGCUAAAUACUCCUGACUGACCGAUAGUGAACCAGUACCGUGAGGGAAAGGCGAAAAGAACCCCGGCGAGGGGAGUGAAAAAGAACCUGAAACCGUGUACGUACAAGCAGUGGGAGCCCCACCACUAAGCCAGUGGUGAACUCCACAUACGCAUCCUUUGCUGAGGAUACGGUUAACGGAGCGAAAGCGACGUUCAACCGCAAAAGAAGCAGAGGGGGCUUAGUGGUGGGGUGACUGCGUACCUUUUGUAUAAUGGGUCAGCGACUUAUAUUCUGUAGCAAGGUUAACCGAAUAGGGGAGCCGGAGGGAAACCGAGUCUUAAC
rnacentral:rRNA from 1 species